rnacentral:rRNA from 1 species
CACGUAGGGAGCAAGCGUUGUCCGGAUUUAUUGGGCGUAAAGAGCUCGUAGGUGGUUCGGUAAGUCAGGUGUGAAACCUCCAGGCUCAACCUGGAGACGCCACUUGAUACUGCUGUGACUGGAGUCCGGUAGGGGAGCGUGGAAUUCCUGGUGUAGCGGUGAAAUGCGCAGAUAUCAGGAGGAACACCAGCGGCGAAGGCGGCGCUCUGGGCCGGGACUGACACUGAGGAGCGAAAGCGUGGGUAGCAAACAGG